AGGCUGGCAGCCAGCACUCCUUGGAGAUCCACGCUCAUGCCCUGGGCACCUCUGCAGGGAGGGAGGGAGGGAGGGAACAGUCCUUAAAUAGCUGAUAUUUAAAUAGUUAUUUCUCUGGCGCUUCCACUUUGCUUAAUUUUGAUAAUAUGGUUUAAUGACUUCCAAUUAUGCCAGCUGUUUCAUUUUUUUGUUGUGUGUUUUCAGGCCUCUUCCCCUCCUGCCAGUGUAUCCAGGCAUCCUGUUAAUCUCCUACUGGAAUACUGACAUUAUUUUCCCUCCAUCCUCCUCCUUUCCAGCAGGAACCCUCCAGGAACGUGGCUGCGUGCUCAGAUCAAGCAAACCUGGCGAUGAUUUUCCCCCUGAUUAUCCAUAAGGAAUAACGGAGCUUUCCUGCAGCCAUUUACCCUCAUUAACCCUCGAAUCAACGCCCACGCUCNNNNNNNNNNAGAGACCCCUCCCCACCUACCUGGCUGCAGGGUGGCACGAGGGUGCUCUCCGGGGACAGCUGGCCCUGGCGACAAUCCAGGCGGAUGAGGCUGCGGCACUCCUGGUGGCACGUGUACCUGCAGUCUGCGGGACAGAAGGGACAGCGUCAGGCUCCUGAGCCGCCCCUGGGGCCGGGGACACCGCGGGGAGCACGGCCGGGAGGGGAUCCAGCACGGCCCGAGCUGGAGCGGCCACGGCUUCCUUUUAACACGUGUGUCCCUUUUAACACACGGGUCCCUUUUAACACGUGUGUCCCUUUUAACACACGGGUCCCUUUUAACACGUGUGUCCCUUUUAACACGUGUGUCCCCUCUAAACACGGGUCCCUUUCAACACGUGUGUCCCUUUUAACACGUGUUCCCUUUAACCACGGGUCCCUUUUAACACGUGUGUCCCUUUUAACACACGGGUCCCUUU
rnacentral:lncRNA from 1 species